ACCCUUACCACACCCCCUACCCCACAUACCCUUCCCUACCCCACCCCUUCACUUUUUUCCCUUUUUCCAUAACAAACUCACAUAUUCAUAUACACUCACCAUAACAGAUUCACACACCUCGCAAUUUACAUAGACAUUAACGCACACAUAACAAUACUCACAUAUACUUUCUUUUUCAUUCAACAUAUAUACACAAUACAACUCCCAAUAGUAAAAAGAGUGAUGGAAAAAAGAAGAGUGGAAGAAACAGAGAGAAAUUGAGAGAGGAAAAAUAGACAGAGAGAAUUAUAAAAAGAGGAAAUAAAAUAGUAAGAGAGGGAGGGAAAUUGAGAGAGAGAAAUUUAGAUAAAUGGAAUAAAGGAGAACAACUUUUCCCGGUGAAGUUUUCACCAAAAUUGCCAUCUCCACCAGCGAUCAAGCUCCCGACCAGACCCACCCACCAGAAAAUCCACUAACUACAUUAUUGAUUACCUCUAUCAAUGAAGAACCAAAAAAUAGAGAGAGAAAUUUAUCAAAACUCAUCAGCUCCUCUGUUCGAAACACUAGCCAUUUUCCAUCGUUGAAUUAAAGCCGACCAGCAAACCACCACCAAAAUAAUAACAAAAAUUGAGAAAACAAUUGGGUUUGGGCCAAACAGAGAUUGAGGUUGGAUUUAUUUAUAGGGGUGUUCAUUAUUGAGGUUGAGUCGAGGAAUUCAGGUGUUGAUCCAAUCAUCAGUCAAGUAAUGUGAUGAUGAAUUCAAUAAAGGUCAAACUCCUUUUUCCCUAAUCUUUGUUAUAAUUUUGUGGAUCUGUGGUGAUGAUUUGUGCAAUAUUUUGUUAUUAUGGUUUUUUGGUUUCUUGUGGGAAUUUGCUUAUGACAUUUGAGGUUGUUCGUCCAUAUUUGUGUUUUACCAUUCUUAAUCUUUGGGAUGAAGAAUUGAUUUUGGCAUCCCUAUUGAUAUUAUUUAACUUGAAAUUGAGAAUGGAUUGACCUUGAUAAAAGUAAAUUAUUGAUUCAUUGAUGGUGGUUUAAUUAGGAAUAAACAUUGAUGUCGUGGAAUGCUAUAGUAUCAUGAUAAGUUAAAAUUAGUAGACAAACGUAAGGUUGGUAGGCAAAUUUAAGGUUUGUGAAUUAUUGAAAGUUUGAAUGUUUGUUGAAUGAUUUUCAUUUUUUCGUAUUUGAAUCAACUGCACUCAUUUGGCCGGGGAAUGCCCCGAGGUUAUCUGUAUUAUUUUAUCCAGGCAAUGCCGCUACAGAGUUGUAUUCGAAAGACUGAUUGUGAUCAAGGCCCGAGUCAUCGGGUAAACCAUACCUUAGGAUAGUUUGGAUAGAUUAAAUUUUUAUUUCAACAUUUCAUUUACUUUGGCCUAUAUUAAAUUGGACUGACACUAUUUUUUGGAGUUUCUACUGUUUGGGUUGUUUGUUUUCUUGGUGUAUGUUUUGUUGGUUUAUACAUUUCAUUGUGUCAUACUAGAAGAUAUACUCCACGAAGCGGCCGUGGUUGAACCACGGGACUGAGGGAUGCCUAACACAUUUUUCUCGGUCAACAGAAUUCCUUAAUCGAAAUAUCUAUUCGUGGACCAGUUUUAAAGAGUCAAAAAUCAUUUCAAAAAAGAAUUUCCAUAGUGACUCUGAGUUUAAAUGUAAAAAUCCUUUUCGAAAUAAAUUUUUGCUUUUAGUCACUUCAAUAAUAAAACUCUUUAUGAACUUAAAAUUGAAUCUUUUUUAAAGCAAAAAAAAGAGUGAGACAACCUAAUGGCGGGAUAAAGUAGAUGACAUCAUGACUCGUAAAUAGUGUCGUGAUAGUGUGACAAUUGUUAAAUCUGACAGCUUGACAGUCUUUAAGUAAAGUGUUCAUAACUUCUUUCUCCAAUAUCAAAUUAAGUCAAAAAAAUUGGAUGAGUUGAAAAGAUAAUUUAGAUAUCUUUAAUUUUGGGGGAGGGGAGGUCUUGAGACUCACAAAUCUUCAUUAUCUAGGAGUUAUACUCGUUUGAAAAUAACUAUAGAAAGAUUCUACACAAGAAAUUAAUUGGUAAGGAAGGUUUCACUUGGCUAUGUGGUAGGAGUUACUUCCAGGUUUAAUUCAUGUCUAAACCACUUCUCAUAAUAUUAGUUCAUUAAGUGUGGUUCUAUAUAUUCUUGAAGAAUAAUUCUAAUCUUAUCUUUAAUUUUUGUGAUGUUACAAUAACUAACACUUGCAUAAAUUAAAAAUGAAUCUAAGUAUUAUAUUAUGCAUGGUAGAAAAUGAAAUAAGCACAUGUAUAACCAAAUCCUAUAUGAUUAAUAUCAACAUAAAAUAACAUAAAAAUUAUCUCAUAACUAAUUUCUAUAUUACUAAUGUACCUACAUAAUUCAAACUACUACUAAACAAGCCUUAAUUAUUUGAUGAUUCUGAAUUAGCACUAGUUCAGUUUAUCAGUGUUGUAUCUAUUUUAUAAUCUUUUCCUAUCCCUUUAUAUUUUGAAAACUGUCAGAUAAAAACAACAAAAUGGUGGGAAUAAAGAAUACUUAAUAUGGUGUCGUGUACGUUGUGGACCAAUUUAUUCUUGUAAAUUCUCAUAGUCCUAAAAUUUAAUAUUUUUUAUCUUGAGCUUAGCAGCCCUAAUUGUUUUUUUUUUCCUUUUGGUGUUGUUGUUGUAAUUUAGAUAAUCCUAAAAAGCAAACAUGAAAUCAUCAAGGAAACAAAAGUCUGCAAUGGAGGCCAACUUGUGAUUGAAAAAAUUUAAGUAGGGACCAUGAUUUUAGGAAAUUAUCUUGAAGGGUACUGAAGGAAUUAAGCAAAGUAAGAUGAUUUAAU
rnacentral:lncRNA from 1 species